GGUCAUAGCUCAGUGGUAGAUCAUCUGCUUUGCAUGCAGAAGACUGCAGGUUCAAUCCCCGGCAGCUCCA